AGCGAACGCUGGCGGCAGGCUUAACACAUGCAAGUCGAACGCAUCCUUCGGGGUGAGUGGCAGACGGGUGAGUAACACGUGGGAACGUACCUCUUUGUUCGGAAUAACUCAUGGAAACGUGAGCUAAUACCGGAUACGCCCUUUUGGGGAAAGAUUUAUUGCCGAAAGAUUGGCCCGCGUCUGAUUAGCUAGUUGGUGAGGUAAUGGCUCACCAAGGCGACGAUCAGUAGCUGGUCUGAGAGGAUGAUCAGCCACACUGGGACUGAGACACGGCCCAGACUCCUACGGGAGGCAGCAGUGGGGAAUAUUGGACAAUGGGCGCAAGCCUGAUCCAGCCAUGCCGCGUGAGUGAUGAAGGCCUUAGGGUUGUAAAGCUCUUUUAUCCGGGAAGAUAAUGACUGUACCGGAAGAAUAAGCCCCGGCUAACUUCGUGCCAGCCGCCGCCGUAA
rnacentral:rRNA from 1 species